ACUCAUAUCAAUAAUUCAUUGAUAUCCAAUAUAUAUAGGGAACUUUUCAGUUAUAUAUAAUAUUUGAGUUGAUUUAAGUUGUUGUUUUUUUAACUGAUCAUAAACUGUUCUACUUCCACUAGCUCGACUUUCGUGUAAGUCACUAGAGUCGAAAACCAACAGCCACGUCGUAGCCUCUUUAAAAAUGAUCUCAUCUGUUAACUACAGGUGGUAAUGUAAAGUCAGCAUUUUUUAAAAUUUACUUAUGACAUCAUAAGUUCCCGGAUUUUAAACAUUUAAAUCUUAAAUAACUUGAGAAUGAAAAAACAAAAUAAAUUAAUUUCCAAAGGUUUUGGUAAACAACUUUUUAUUCUACACAACAUAUAAAAAUAUUAUUUUUAAUGCAGAAAUGCUUUCAAGAGUAAAUAAUGAGUCAUGGCGUGACGUGUUUUACUGUCUGUAAACACGUGUUUACGUGUCUUUGUGAGGAAGAUAAUUCAGUAGUAUAAACGAGGAAUAAAUGGUAAUUAUUUUAUGACGCAGGGACAUUAAGAUUGAGUCAAAAAUUAUUCCCUAUAACUUUUUAUAACCUUACGUUUAGAAAGUUAGAUUGAGUUGAACAAAAUAAUUCCCAUAGCUCUUCGUAAGAUUUUACGUCUCGUAAUAAAAAAAGAAAGGGAAAUUCCCAAAAGAGAUGAAGAAUAUAAAUCCGCUGCUGCUGUUGCUCUCAAUGUCAGUAUUUAAUCAAAAAGUCAGUUGAAACAAUUUGAACUGCACAUAUAUUUUGACUAGUAAAAUUUGUACGAAGAUGGGGAAAUUAUUAUCCAUAUUUAAAAGAGCACCACCUCCAGGAAGAAGAACAGCCUCAAUAUGAGAUUUGGGAUGAGAUUAGAGCAACAAUGGGUCUAUGGAGGUUACGAAAGAAAAACAAGUAGUAAUUAGGACUUUCGUUUUAUGAAAGUUGUGGUGAUGUAUUUAAACUAGCUGGGAGACCCGCCGUCGAAAGGCCGAGUUAAGCCACAAGCAGCAGUGCGGCCUGGCGUUGAACGCCCAAUGCAGCGCCUAAUAAGAACCGCAAAUUGUCACAUAUUCGAGUGGAGCGUUUUAGUACAAGUAUGCAGUAUGCCGUGGAUCUUGUAAGGCAAACAGAACAUUUUAGUGUUUCGGUAGCAAUGUAUUUUUAAACUUAAGCUGAAAUAAUGUAAUAAUAACCAUGAA